GAAGGAUCCAUGUGCUGCUGAGAAGAAAGUGUAUUUGUUCAUUGAAGGAUGAAAUAUUCUAUAUAUGUCAGUUAAGUCUAAGUUAUUGAUUGUAUUAUUAAGUUCUAUAAUUUCUUUGUUUAGCUUUUGUUUGGAUGAUCCAUUUAGUAGUGAAAGAGGUGUGUUAAAGUCAACCAGAAAUAUUAUGUUGUGGUCUAUUUGACUCUUGAACUUGAGAAGAAUUUGAUGAACGUAGACACUUCAUUAUUUGGGGCAUAUCAAUUUAUUAUUGUUAUGUCUUUUGAUGAAUGGUUCCUUUAAGCAGUAUGAAAUAUCCUUCUAAAUCCCUUUUGAUUAACUUUGACUUGAAGUCUACACUAUUUGAUAUGAGGAUGGAAACCCCUGCUUGCUUCUGCAGUUCACGCAUGGUAUGAUUUUCCCCAACCUUUCACCUUCAGUCUGUGUAUAUCUUUUCCUAUGAGAUGAGUCUCUUGGAGGCAGUAUAUUAUUGGGUCUUUUUAAAAAUCCAAUCUGCCAGUCUAUAUCUUUUGAUUGGUGAGUUUAGGCCAUUAACAUUCAGGGUUAUUAUUGAGAGAUGAUUUGUAUUCCCAGCCAUAUUUGUUAUUGAACUUGACUUGGAUUCUCCUCUGAUUAGAUUUUCCUUUAGUAUAAUCUCUCCCUCUGCUGAUUUUCAUCAUUGUUUUUAAUUUCCUCCUCUUGGAAAUGCUGAGGAUGUUCUGUAGUAGCUUUCUAGUAGUAAAUUCUUUUAACUUUUGUUUAUCAUGGAAGGUUUUUAUUUCAUCAUGAAAUCUAAAGCUUAGUUUUGCUGGAUAUAAGAUUCUUGGUUGGCACCCAUUUUCUUUCAGUGCUUGAUAUGUUUUUCCAGGAUAUUCUGCCUUUCAGGAUCUGGGUUGAAAAAUCUGCACAUAAUCUAAUUGGUUUCCCCCUAUAUGUAAUGUGAUUUUUUUCUGUCAUGGCUUUUAAUAUUCUCUCCUUAUUCUGUAUGUUAGGCCUUUUCAUUAUAAUGUGCCUUCAUGUGGAUCUGUUGUGAUUUGGUACAUUUGGUGUCCUAUAAGCCUCCUGAAUUUGGUUUUCCAAUUCAUUCUUCACAUUUGGAAAAUUUCUCUGAUAUAAUUUCAUUUAAUAGAUUGCUCAUUCCUUUGGUAUGGACCUCUAUGCCUUCUUCUAUCCCAAUAACUCUUACAUUUGGUCUUUUUAUGCUAUCCCAUAUCUCUUAAACGUUCUGCUCAUGGUUUCUUACCAUUUUCACUGUGUGGCUUACAUUCUUUUCAAGAUUAUACAUUUUGUCUUCGUUGUCUGAGGUCCUGUCUUCCAAGUGGUCUAAUCUGUUGGUGAUUCUUUCAAUUGAACUUUUUAUUUGGUUUGUUGUUUCUUUCAUUUCAAGGAUUUGUUUUUUUUUAAGAACCUCUAUCUCCUUAUUGAAGUAAUCUUCUACUUCCUAUAUUUGUUUACGUAGCUCUUUGUCAAAAUGAUCUUUUGCUGCCUAUAUUUGCUCUC
rnacentral:lncRNA from 1 species